rnacentral:rRNA from 1 species
GUGAACGCUGGCGGUAGGCCUAACACAUGCAAGUCGAACGGCAGCACAGUAAGAGCUUGCUCUUACGGGUGGCGAGUGGCGGACGGGUGGGGAAUACAUCGGAACCUACUUUUUCGUGGGGGAUAACGUAGGGAAACUUACGCUAAUACCGCAUACGACCUACGGGUGAAAGCAGGGGAUCUUCGGACCUUGCGCGAUUGAAUGAGCCGAUGUCGGAUUAGCUAGUUGGCGGGGUAAAGGCCCACCAAGGCGACGAUCCGUAGCUGGUCUGAGAGGAUGAUCAGCCACACUGGAACUGAGACACGGUCCAGACUCCUACGGGAGGCAGCAGUGGGGAAUAUUGGACAAUGGGCGCAAGCCUGAUCCAGCCAUACCGCGUGGGUGAAGAAGGCCUUCGGGUUGUAAAGCCCUUUUGUUGGGAAAGAAAAGCAGCAGGUUAAUACCCCGCUGUUCUGACGGUACCCAAAGAAUAAGCACCGGCUAACUUCGUG